rnacentral:rRNA from 1 species
AGCAGCCGCGGUAAUUCCAGCUCCAAUAGCGUAUAUUAAAGUUGUUGCAGUUAAAAAGCUCGUAGUUGAAUUUCGGGAUCAAUAUAUCGGUCGUGCCUCUGGUACGUACUGGUAUCAUUGAUUUCUCCCUUCUGACGAACCAUGAUUUCAUUUAUUUGGUGUCAUGKGGAGUUAGGACUGUUACUUUGAAAAAAUUAGAGUGUUUAAAGCAGGCAUUAGCUUGAAUACAUUAGCAUGGAAUAAUGAAAUAGGACGUUUGACCCUAUUUUGUUGGUUUCUAGGAUCGACGUAAUGAUUAAUAGGGAUAGUUGGGGGCAUUAGUAUUCAAUUGUCAGAGGUGAAAUUCUUGGAUUUAUUGAAGACUAACUACUGCGAAAGCAUUUGCCAAGGAUGUUUUCAUUAAUCAAGAACGAAAGUUAGGGGAUCGAAGACGAUCAGAUACCGUCGUAGUCUUAACCAUAAACUAUGCCGACUAGGGAUCGGAUGAUGUUAAUUUUAUAAUGACUCA